AUGCCCAGAGCUGUGUCUCUCUGGAUCUGCGAAAGAUACCUUAAAGUCCCUCCUUCCAGAGGAAAACAGCCAUUCAGCCGAUGACAGAAACAGCCCCACUGCAACCAAAGCCCUUGCGCAUGCCAGGUGCUUGCUGCAAGAACCGUUGCCUGACUCACCCUUCUUUCUCAGUGGCAUUUGGCAUCAUUGCCAGCCCCUGAAGAGCCUUCGGUUACACACCUGGACAUCUGGGGGCGGCGGUGGCGGGGACACACCAGGUUCCCAGUCCGGGGGGCUGCUUCUUAACCUACUUACUUUUAAUCCUCAUGGAGGCCACGGCACCACCAGAAACAGCCCCAAACCUGACUUUUUGAAACUGAAGGGAGAAUCAGGAAGAUCAGUGAGCUACAUCCUCCUUUUAAAUAACCUGAAUAUAGCUGGAGGAGGCACAGUUAUAAUGUUCCCUAAACGGGAGAAGGAUGGAUAAAAAUAAGCCUACCAAGAAUAUGUCGCAGACUAUAGCAAUCAAACAACCUCUGCAUAGAGAAAAGAAAAAAAAAAAAAGGACCUGGAAGAAAUUGAUCAAGGUAUCUUCCAAAGAGUCUAUAGUGGGCACAGCUAUUCUAUUUUCCAAACAGAGGAAAGUUGGAACUCAUAAAACUGAAGUGACUUGCCCUGAGCCCGUGCAUUGCCUGGAGACCACGCAACAGGCAGAACGUGAGUUUUGACAUCACAGAAGCCAAGUUUGAAUCCCAGAUUUUGAGCUCUGCGUAUUGAAGGAGAAGAACAAAGUUGAAGGAUUGAUACCACUGGACUUCAAGACUUCCUAUAAAGUUACAGUAAUCGAGACAGUGUGAUAUUGGUGAAAGAACAAACAAAUAGAUCAAUGGAACAGAAAAGAGAGCCUAGACAUAGACCCACAUAAAUGUAGUCAACUGACCUUUGACAAAGGAGCAAAGGCAAUACAAUGGAGCAAAGAUUGUUUUUUCAGCAAAUGGUGUUGGAACAGCCGGAUAUCCACAGGCAAAAAAAGUGAAUCUCUACACAGACCUUUCACACUUCACAAAAAUGAACACAAAGUGAAUCAUAAACCUAAAUGUAAAACGCAAAACUGUAAAACUUCUAGAAGAUAACGUAGGAGAAAACCUAGAUGACCUUGGCAUCGGUGAUGACAUUUUAGAUAUAACAUCAAAAGCACGAUCCGUGAAAGAAAUAAUUGAUAUGCUGGACUUCAUUAAAAUGAAAAGCUUCUGCUCUGCAAAAGACAAUGUCAAAAGAAUGAGAAAGCAGGGCACAGACUGGGAGAAAAUAUUUGCACAAGAAACGUCUGAUAAAAGAUUCAGAGCCAAAUCUCAUUGGCUUCAUUAAAGUCACAUAUCCCCAGGGAGGGGACAGGAAGGAUUCUCCCUUAAGCUUCCACCUCUGCUAUUGAAAAGCUACUACACAGCCUCUGCUGCCCUAGCUUCCUUCCACCCCUGCUGAAUCCUGGGACCCCAUGCGAACUGUGGCUCCCAUCAGUAGCCCCAGCCUCCAGAUAGCAGUGGCUACAGCGAAGACGCUGGUGUUCCCCUCGUUGAGGUAUUUCUCAAGACUUUGGCAAAGGGGAUGUCCUCUGUGCUCUACUGGGAGACAUAGUUAGGGAGUGAAAGGAUAAGUUGCACAUGAUAAAUUCACUCCAGCAUUUCUAUCUCUCAAAGUCUUUGGAUUCUUUCCUUUACAUGAUAUCAAGGAAUUUAUGACAUCUCAACUCUGUUUAGUGUUGGCCACCAUUGAGUCCAGAUUUCUGUCAACCAACUGAACAAACAACGGUAUCUACUCCCAGCUGUUCGAACUUGCUGCAAAAUCUGGAGUCUCUGCUAAGUGCAUCCACGUCAAUGACUUCAAUUUGGUCUAAAAUUAUGUUCUUCUGUCCUUAGUCAAGAGCCUACAGAAUUCAUUCCCACACAUAUUCCCCAGAUCCUUGAAGGUGUAAAUUAGCAAAGUUUGGCCAGUUACUUGUUAUAUGCCUUCUACUUGCAGGUUUAACUUUUUACUCCCCACCUUCCCCGUGGGUAUUCAAGCUCUGAUCCUCAGGACAAGGGAGGGUUGCUGUAAGGCAGUUCAUAAAUAUAGUCCUUCCAUCAGUGUAACUCUUUGGGGUAAGGGAGUUCUAGUUAUCUUUGAGCAAAAAUGAAAAAGAAUCAGCAGUCAAAGGAGAAGGGCUGCUUUGGCUAGCACGGGAGAGUCAGUGAGUUCUCUGAGCUGUUCAUAUACCCUCAUUCCAAGUCUUAUCCUAUCCAUGCCUUAACUAUCUCCUGAGAGGCAAGACAAGGCUGAGAACUUGAUGAUGUAAUUCGACAAACCUCAGGUCCCAUUUUGAAUUUGUUUUCCAGUCUCUCAGCUAUGUGGCUUUUAGAGGUUGGACAUUCAUUUAUCAAUAGCACUGCCAUAGUAGGUUGCUGCGUGUUAAUAAAUGUUUUAACUGGAGACUUUGGGGUAUUUAAACUUGUUCUCUUUUA